rnacentral:rRNA from 1 species
CAGCAGCCGCGGGAAAACGAACCGUGCGAACGUUAUUCGGAAUUACUGGGCUUAAAGCGCGUGUAGGCGGGCCGCCACGUCGGUUGCUGAAAUCCCCCGGCUCAACCGGGGAAGUGGCAUCGAUACGAGCGGCCUUGAGGGGGGUAGGGGGAUCUGGAACUUCCGGUGGAGCGGUGAAAUGCGUUGAGAUCGGAAGGAACGCCCGUGGCGAAAGCGAGGUCCUGGACCCUUUCUGACGCUGAGGCUCGAAAGCGUGGGGAGCAAACAGGAUUAGAUACCCCAGUAGUCCCUGUCUCUUAUA